rnacentral:rRNA from 1 species
CCUACGGGUGGCUGCAGUGGGGAAUAUUGCACAAUGGGCGCAAGCCUGAUGCAGCCAUGCCGCGUGUGUGAAGAAGGCCUUCGGGUUGUAAAGCACUUUCAGCGGGGAGGAAGGCGUUAAGGUUAAUAACCUUGGCGAUUGACGUUACCCGCAGAAGAAGCACCGGCUAACUCCGUGCCAGCAGCCGCGGUAAUACGGAGGGUGCAAGCGUUAAUCGGAAUUACUGGGCGUAAAGCGCACGCAGGCGGUCUGUCAAGUCGGAUGUGAAAUCCCCGGGCUCAACCUGGGAACUGCAUUCGAAACUGGCAGGCUAGAGUCUUGUAGAGGGGGGUAGAAUUCCAGGUGUAGCGGUGAAAUGCGUAGAUAUCGGGAGGAAUACCGGUGGCGAAGGCGGCCCCCUGGACAAAGACUGACGCUCAGGUGCGAAAGCGUGGGGAGCAAACAGGAUUAGAUACCCGGGUAGUC